rnacentral:lncRNA from 1 species
AGAGAGCAUGUCGGCUCCUUUUAUCCCUUCUACCAUUUACAAAUGUCACCGGCUUCCCUGCUUGAGUCAUUAAGGAAAAGUAAUUACUUUAAGCAUGAGUCACAGCACAUUGAAAAAAGCAAUUAAUAUCUUGACAUCUAAACACAGAAAGAAAUCUCUGACAAGAUCUUGGAGAAUGUCAGGGCAGUAUUUAUUGGGCAAUAAUAAUACCAAAGUUACCUUUUGGAUGGCGGAAUGUUGUUGCCUGCUGUGUCUCCAGAGAAGCAAUGUCCUGUCCACACUGGAUGCUUAGGAAGUAUCAUGGAGCAAGUGAGUGAACACAGGAGUGAAUGACAGUCUUCGAUCCUUGUGUCCCCACCAUUUCUCCACCUGCGGGUCUCAGUCUGGUUCCUGAAAAAAAAGCAAGUAGAGCUCUGACUUCAUACCACGCACUCUUUGCACAGAUGUCUGCACCUACAAUUUGGCUUUCUCCUGUUACUCUCUCCAGACUCAAGGCUGUUGACUUAAGAUAUUGACUGAAGUCAUUCUUCUGGCACCUCUGGCUCACAGCUGGGUCCCUAUGUGGCUUCACUUUGACCCGAAGUUCAUAUUGCUGUUGUGAGCCCACCUUGCCACGGUAUGGACAGCAGCCCCCUGGGACCUGUGCUGGUCUGGAGAUGUGAUCAUCGGAGACAACAGCUCCUUCAGGGCCCACAGCAGGCAGGGAUUUUCUCUGGCUGGGUUCUUCCCUGGCCACUCAUAAACAAACUGUAAUUCUUCAGACUCCAAGAGGCUUUGGUUUGUGUUCGGAAGGCUGAGGAAAAGUGGAAAAUGUGUUAAACGCAUGCCACUGUCUAAGAGAAGGUUGCUACUGCGUACCACUGGCCUAUGCACUCUACCACAGUAGGCACUUGGUGAGUCAAUGGUGAACACACGUGUGGAGCAGUGGUGACCAGACAGGAUGGUAACUCUGCUGAGCACUAGUGGGUGCCAAGCCAUCUCUUUCCUGAUUAUCACAGCCACCUUCAGUAGAAAUGGAUACUCUCCCCACUUUCCAGCUGAGGGCAUGGAGCCACAGAAUUUUGUGUCUUAGAUGGUACAACUGGUUUCUCAACUCUUGGACUCAGCCUGUUCUGAAGGAGAAAGUGCUUAUAUAAAAUUAGAGAUAAAUAAGGUUGACAGGACAGAAGGUUAUUGCCACUGAAUAGAUGGUUCCUGAGAGACAGGGGUGUGCCCCACCAGAAAAGUGAAGAGACAGACCAUGGCAAGAAGCUCUUGGGGUACAAGAGACCAAGAGGGCCUCAGCCUGAUGAGUAGGGAUUGGAACUGAAGGCCAGAGAAGCCAAGGAGAUGAGUUUUGCCUGAGGUCUGUCCUUAAGCAACACAACUCAAACAUGAACUCCGAUUUGGGGAGAAGAGCUGAAUGUAGGAACUGUGCUGAGAAGGCAAAAUGUCUGAGGUGUGAUCACCAAGGGCAACUUGAUGGGCCAUGGCUGUGUCUAUACCACCCACCCAUCCACCUGUUCAUUCAACCAAUGUCUGCCGAGAACCUGCCAAGUGCAAAUGAUGGUGAUCAGAGAAUGAUAAGAAAAACACAGUUUUUUAAAUAUCCAGGGAGGUUAAACUCAGCAACAAGAGUCAUAGAGGAUGAGGAAGAGUUCAACAAGAGAGAAAAAUAAGACAGCUAUUCUGAGCAGAGUACCCUGGUUUCCACCUGUAUUCCCGAGACCACUGAAGGCUGGCAUGUGAGUACUUUAGAAAUUGGAGCUUUUACAAAGAACAAUGCUAUGAGAAGCAUUGUAUAACAACUCACCAAGGAAGGUAUUUAGAUGGGAAAUUAGCCCAUGAAAAGGUGUUCAUCAUUACUUAUCAUCAGGAAACUUCAAGUUAAACCCACAAUAAGACAUCACUGCAUACAACACCACUGACAGUACCAAAGGAUGGCAAGGAUGCGGAGCAACAAGACCUCAUCUAUUGCUGGCAGGAAUGCAAAACACACAGCCACUUUGGAAGACAGUUUGGCAGUCUUUUACAAAGGGAAACAUAGUCCUAACAUCUGAU